rnacentral:tRNA from 1 species
GCACUGUUAGCUCAGAUGGAUAGAGCAAUUGCCUUCUAAGCAAUCGGUCACUGGUUCGACUCCAGUACAGUGUGCCA